ensembl:lncRNA
AUUCCAUAUGUGCAGCCUGCAACUGCAUGCCAGAUGUAUUUAACUCGUUCUGUCUUGUUCUUCCUCUCCGUUGCUCACUCUCAAUUUUCUAGCAUUUUGUUCUCCGUAGUUAUUUCUUUCAACCCUACUUCUCUUUCAACUGCUAUUGGACUUCCUCAGUCUCAUAACCUGGGCUAUUUUAAUGGGAGGCAGUUAUUUUCAACUUUGCGGGUGCAUUGAAUAUAGCAUCUGUUCUGAAGGACAGUGUGCAGUGUGAGAAAUGCAGUGAAGGAGAGGGGAAUGUAUAGAUUUUUGCUUCAUAGAACAGAUGAUAUUUUUAGAUGGAGAUUUUUUUACAGAAAACUUUUUAUUUCCUUUGAUAUGGUCACAUGAUUAAAGACAGUGUGUUCUGCCCCCUUAUGGUGAGUAGAGGAAUGUGGAUACAGCCAUCACCUGCUCCCCAUACGAACCCUAUUACUCAGGAAGACACACAACAUAAACAUACCAUAUAGACACACAAAAAAAAAAACUAAAAUCUUUCAGGAAUUAUAACGAUCUAAUCCUGGAAUUUUAGCAGCUUACUUCAGGAAAAAGUGUCGACUGGAACAGGAUUUUCUCCUUACACAUAUCAGAGACACCCCCUAAACGCUCACCGAUACUCUAAAGGUCCAGAUGUGAGCUGAAACUGAGUGGUGAUGUCAUCACAGCCCCAUGUCCACUCCUCUGCGGAAUCCAGAAAGCAGACAGAGGAGAGAAGUGGGGGAUGAGAGAGAAAGAGAAGGGAAAGCACCUGGACAUCCCAACGGC